rnacentral:misc_RNA from 1 species
AACCUAGCACACCUGCGGUGUGUACCUGCGGAAGGAUCAUUAACGAAUAACUAGAUGUGGUUGUAGCUGGCUUCUAGGAGCAUGUGCACGCCCGUCUUCUUAUCUUUCCACCUGUGCACCAAAUGUAGGCUUGGAUAACUCUCGCCCUCGGGCGGAUGCGAGGAUUGUCUUCGGACUCUCCUCGAAUUUCCAAGUCUAUGUCUUUCACAAACCCCAAUUGAAAAACGCAGAAUGUAGUCA